UAGUUUAGUUGAAAAUACCAGCUUUGGGAGUUGGUGAGGAAGGUUUGACUCCUUU
rnacentral:tRNA from 1 species